ACAGCAUCUUUAACAGGUCUAGGCCUCAGUGCAGUAGGCCAAGAUUUGGUAGCUGGUGCUGACAGGUCUCUCCCUGUAACAUUCCAUUGAGUACUGCUGUCUGUUGGGGACACUCAAGGAGAAGAACAUCU
rnacentral:snoRNA from 1 species